rnacentral:tRNA from 1 species
UAGCUCAAUGGCAGAGCAACUGACUCUUAAUCAGUGGGUUCCGGGUUCAAGUCCCG